rnacentral:rRNA from 1 species
GGGCCCGCACAAGCGGUGGAGCAUGUGGUUCAAUUCGAAGCAACGCGCAGAACCUUACCAGCCCUUGACAUGUCCCGUAUGGGUUUCAGAAAUGAGACCCUUCAGUUCGGCUGGCGGGAACACAGGUGCUGCAUGGCUGUCGUCAGCUCGUGUCGUGAGAUGUUGGGUUAAGUCCCGCAACGAGCGCAACCCUCGCCCUUAGUUGCCAUCAUUCAGUUGGGCACUCUAAGGGGACUGCCGGUGAUAAGCCGCGAGGAAGGUGGGGAUGACGUCAAGUCCUCAUGGCCCUUACGGGCUGGGCUACACACGUGCUACAAUGGCGGUGACAAUGGGAUGCAAUGGAGCAAUCCUGCGCAAAUCUCAAAAAGCCGUCUCAGUUCGGAUUGGGGUCUGCAACUCGACCCCAUGAAGUCGGAAUCGCUAGUAAUCGCAGAUCAGCACGCUGCGGUGAAUACGUUCCCGGGCCUU